AUUGAACGCUGGCGGCAGGCCUAACACAAGCAAGUCGAGCGAGCGGCGGACGGGUGAGUAAUGUCUGGGAAACUGCCUGAUGGAUGGGGAUAACUACUGGAAACGGUAGCUAAUACCGCAUACCAUCAGAUGUGCCCUUAUGGGAUUAGCUAGUAGGUGGGGUAACGGCUCACGUAGGCGACGAUCCCUAGCUGGUCUGAGAGGAUGACCAGCCACUUUGGUACUGUGACACGGUCCAGACUCCUACGGUAGGCAGAAGGGGGGAAUAGUGCACAAUGGGCGCAAGCCUGAUGCAGCCAUGCCGCGUGUAUGAAGAAGGCCUUCGGGUUUUAAAGUACUUUCAGCGGGGAGGCGUUACCCGCAGAAGAAGCACCGGCUAACUCCGUGCCAGCCGCCGCGGUAAUUC
rnacentral:rRNA from 1 species